rnacentral:tRNA from 1 species
GUUGAGUCCCGGUGGGCUCUGCGGUCUUCAAAACCGUUGGUGGGUCGUUUAUGCGAGCCACGGUGGGUUCGACUCCCAUUCA